rnacentral:rRNA from 1 species
UACGAAGGGGGCUAGCGUUGUUCGGAAUCACUGGGCGUAAAGCGCACGUAGGCGGAUUGCUAAGUCAGGGGUGAAAUCCUGAAGCUCAACUCCAGAACUGCCUUUGAUACUGGCGAUCUUGAGUCCGGGAGAGGUGAGUGGAACUGCGAGUGUAGAGGUGAAAUUCGUAGAUAUUCGCAAGAACACCAGUGGCGAAGGCGGCUCACUGGCCCGGUACUGACGCUGAGGUGCGAAAGCGUGGGGAGCAAACAGG